UGGCUCAGAACGAACGCUGGCGGCGUGGAUAAGACAUGCAAGUCGAACGCUCAUUUUCCUGUAGCAAUAUAGGGAAGUGGGAGUGGCGCAAGGGUGCGUAACACGUGGAUCAUCUGCCUGAAAGUUCGGAAUAAUUCCUCGAAAGAGGGACUAAUGCCGGAUGUGGUUGUAAAACUAAAGCUGGGGACCGCAAGGCCUGGCGCUUUCAGAUGAGUCCGCGGCCUAUCAGCUAGUUGGCGGGGUAACGGCCCACCAAGGCUAAGACGGGUAGCUGGUCUGAGAGGACGACC
rnacentral:rRNA from 14 species